rnacentral:rRNA from 1 species
UCUAUACAUGCAGUAGAACGCUGAAGAGAGGAGCUUGCUCUUCUUGGAUGAGUUGCGAACGGGUGAGUAACGCGUAGGUAACCUGCCUUGUAGCGGGGGAUAACUAUUGGAAACGAUAGCUAAUACCGCAUAACAAUGGAUGACACAUGUCAUUUAUUUGAAAGGGGCAAUUGCUCCACUACAAGAUGGACCUGCGUUGUAUUAGCUAGUAGGUGAGGUAACGGCUCACCUAGGCGACGAUACAUAGCCGACCUGAGAGGGUGAUCGGCCACACUGGGACUGAGACACGGCCCAGACUCCUACGGGAGGCAGCAGUAGGGAAUCUUCGGCAAUGGGGGCAACCCUGACCGAGCAACGCCGCGUGAGUGAAGAAGGUUUUCGGAUCGUAAAGCUCUGUUGUAAGUCAAGAACGAGUGUGAGAGUGGAAAGUUCACACUGUGACGGUAGCUUACCAGAAAGGGACGGCUAACUACGUGCCAGCAGCCGCGGUAAUACGUAGGUCCCGAGCGUUGUCCGGAUUUAUUGGGCGUAAAGCGAGCGCAGGCGGUUUGAUAAGUCUGAAGUUAAAGGCUGUGGCUCAACCAUAGUUCGCUUUGGAAACUGUCAAACUUGAGUGCAGAAGGGGAGAGUGGAAUUCCAUGUGUAGCGGUGAAAUGCGUAGAUAUAUGGAGGAACACCGGUGGCGAAAGCGGCUCUCUGGUCUGUAACUGACGCUGAGGCUCGAAAGCGUGGGGAGCGAACAGGAUUAGAUACCCUGGUAGUCCACGCCGUAAACGAUGAGUGCUAGGUGUUGGAUCCUUUCCGGGAUUCAGUGCCGCAGCUAACGCAUUAAGCACUCCGCCUGGGGAGUACGACCGCAAGGUUGAAACUCAAAGGAAUUGACGGGGGGCCCGCACAAGCGGUGGAGCAUGUGGUUUAAUUCGAAGCAACGCGAAGAACCCUUACCAG